rnacentral:rRNA from 1 species
GCAAGUCGAGCGAGACGGUUAAGAUUGAUCCUUCGGGUGAUUGAUUAACUAGAAAGCGGCGGACGGGUGAGUAACGCGUGGGUAACCUGCCCUACACACAAGGAUAGCCAUUGGAAACGAUGAUUAAUACUUGAUAACACAUUUAGAUCACAUGGUCUUAAUGUCAAAGAUUUAUCGGUGUAGGAUGGACCCGCGUCUGAUUAGCUAGUUGGUAAGGUAACGGCUUACCAAGGCGACGAUGGUUAGCGGGUCUGAGAGGAUGAUC